GAGUUUGAUCAUGGCUCAGGAUGAACGCUAGCGACAGGCUUAACACAUGCAAGUCGAGGGGCAGCGGGGGCGGAAGCUUGCUUUCGCCCGCCGGCGACCGGCGCACGGGUGAGUAACACGUAUGCAACCUGGCCGCCACAGGGGGAUAACCCGCGGAAACGCGGCCUAAUACCCCGUGACGCCACCGGAGGGCAUCCUCCGGUGGCCAAAGGAGUGAUCCGGUGGCGGAUGGGCAUGCGGCGCAUUAGCUAGACGGCGGGGUGACGGCCCACCGUGGCGACGAUGCGUAGGGGUUCUGAGAGGAAGGCCCCCCACACUGGGACUGAGACACGGCCCAGACUCCUACGGGAGGCAGCAGUGAGGAUAUUGGUCAAUGGGCGGAAGCCUGAACCAGCCAAGUCGCGUGAGGGAUUAAGGCCCUGCGAGUCGUAAACCUCUUUUGCC
rnacentral:rRNA from 1 species